rnacentral:rRNA from 1 species
GAUGAACGCUGGCGGCGUGCUUAACACAUGCAAGUCGAACGAGAAGUGGAGACGGACACCUUCGGGCGGAAGACUUUAUUUCGAGUGGCGGACGGGUGAGUAACGCGUGGGUAACCUGCCUCAUACAGGGGGAUAACAGUUGGAAACGACUGUUAAUACCGCAUAAGACCACAGCACCGCAUGGUGCGGGGGUAAAAACUCCGGUGGUAUGAGAUGGACCCGCGUUCGAUUAGCCAGUUGGCGGGGUAACGGCCCACCAAAGCGACGAUCGAUAGCCGAUCUGAGAGGAUGACCGGCCACAUUGGGACUGAGACACGGCCCAAACUCCUACGGGAGGCAGCAGUGGGGAAUAUUGCACAAUGGGGGAAACCCUGAUGCAGCGACGCCGCGUGAGUGAAGAAGUAUUUCAGUAUGUAAAGCUCUAUCAGCAGGGAAGAAAAUGACGGUACCUGAGUAAGAAGCCCCGGCUAACUACGUG